rnacentral:rRNA from 1 species
AGUGAACGCUGGCGGUAGGCCUAACACAUGCAAGUCGAACGGCAGCACAGUAAGAGCUUGCUCUUACGGGUGGCGAGUGGCGGACGGGUGAGGAAUACAUCGGAAUCUACUUUUUCGUGGGUGAUAACGUAGGGAAACUUACGCUAAUACCUCAUACGACCUACGGGUGAAAGCAGGGGAUCUUCGGACCUUGCGCGAUUGAAUGAGCCGAUGUCGGAUUAGCUAGUUGGCGGGGUAAAGGCCCACCAAGGCGACGAUCCGUAGCUGGUCUGAGAGGAUGAUCAGCCACACUGGAACUGAGACACGGUCCAGACUCCUACGGGAGGCAGCAGUGGGGAAUAUUGGACAAUGGGCGCAAGCCUGAUCCAGCCAUACCGCGUGGAUGAAGAAGGCCUUCGGGUUGUAAAGCCCUUUUGUUGGGAAAGAAAAGCAGCAGGUUAAUACCUCGCUGUUAUGACGGUACCCAAAGAAUAAGCACCGGCUAACUUCGUG